CCUACGGGAGGCAGCAGUGAGGAAUAUUGGUCAAUGGGCGGGAGCCUGAACCAGCCAAGCCGCGUGAGGGAAGAAGGUACAGCGUAUUGUAAACCUCUUUUGUCAGGGAAUAAAGGAGGGGACUAGUCCCCGGAUGAGGGUACCUGAAGAAAAAGCAUCGGCUAACUCCGUGCCAGCAGCCGCGGUAAUACGGAGGAUGCGAGCGUUAUCCGGAUUUAUUGGGUUUAAAGGGUGCGAAGGCGGCCUGUUAAGUCAGAGGUAAAAGCUUGGGGCUCAACCCCAGAGAGCCAUUUAGACUGGCGGGCUGGAGUUGGAGAGAAGUACGCGGAAUGCGCGGUGUAGCGGUGAAAUGCUUAGAUAUCGCGCAGAACCCCGAUUGCGAAGGCAGCGUACCGGCUCCACACUGACGCUGAGGCACGAAAGCGUGGGUAUCGAACAGGAUUAGAUACCCGAGUAGUC
rnacentral:rRNA from 1 species